rnacentral:rRNA from 1 species
UACGGAGGGUGCAAGCGUUAAUCGGAAUCACUGGGCGUAAAGCGCGCGUAGGCGGCUUUGUAAGUCAGAUGUGAAAGCCCACGGCUCAACCGUGGAAUUGCAUUUGAUACUGCAUGGCUUGAGUUCGGGAGAGGGUAGUGGAAUUCCAGGUGUAGGAGUGAAAUCCGUAGAGAUCUGGAGGAACACCAGUGGCGAAGGCGACUACCUGGACCGAUACUGACGCUGAGGUGCGAAAGCGUGGGGAGCAAACAGG